rnacentral:rRNA from 1 species
NGCAGUAGGGAAUCUUCGGCAAUGGACGAAAGUCUGACCGAGCAACGCCGCGUGAGUGAAGAAGGUUUUCGGAUCGUAAAACUCUGUUGGUAGAGAAGAACGUUGGUGAGAGUGGAAAGCUCAUCAAGUGACGGUAACUACCCAGAAAGGGACGGCUAACUACGUGCCAG